rnacentral:rRNA from 1 species
GACGAACGCUGGCGGCGUGCUUAACACAUGCAAGUCGAACGGAAAGGCCCCUUUGGGGGUACUCGAGUGGCGAACGGGUGAGUAACACGUGAGUAACCUGCCCUUGACUUCGGGAUAACUUCAGGAAACUGGGGCUAAUACCGGAUAGGAAUCCUUGCUGCAUGGUGGGGGUUGGAAAGCUUCGGCGGUUUUGGAUGGACUCGCGGCUUAUCAGCUUGUUGGUGGGGUAGUGGCUUACCAAGGCUUUGACGGGUAGCCGGCCUGAGAGGGCGACCGGCCACAUUGGGACUGGGAUACGGCCCAGACUCCGACGGGAGGCAGCAGUGGGGAAUAUUGCACAAUGGGCGGAAGCCUGAUGCAGCAACGCCGCGGGCGGGAUGACGGCCUUCGGGUUGUAAACCGCUUUCAGCAGGGGCGAAGCUUGUGGUGACGGUACCUGCAGAAGAAGCACCGGCUAACUACGUG